UUAAACCGCACAGAGAGGUGUAUAAUCACAGCUGGUGGUAAGUGCUGGGAAAGCAAAAGUCAGGGCCUUCUGAGGGGCCUGCAGCCACAAUCCGCAGACAGAGGGCCUGGGUCUGAAGGUGAGCACUCUGGAUGUCAGCCACCGGCCUUUCUGGACUUUUCCACAUGGCCCACCCUCAACGUCUCUCUCCGUUCCUGGGAUCCUCCCACUUCUGAGCAACUCUUGCUGUAGGACCAGACCUCCUCCUAAAGCGUGUGGUGGGCCACCCCCCCCCCCAAUGCUGCCUGUCACUGUCAUACCCACUUCGCUCCAUCAGACCACGCUGACCUCACCAGGGCUCAGUUGUAAGAUUCUAGCACUUGGGCUCUUAGCAGUGGCCCCUGAUAUACAGGAAAAUUCCAUUAUUUUUCAAAGAUCAAUUUUAAAAGCAAAACUAGUCCUAAAUUUGUGGAAAUGGAUCAGAUCUGCUCAUGGAAAGGAGAGUCCUGAGGCCGCCCAGGGCUGGUGCUCAGUAGGUGCCUCCUUUCUACUCUCCCUUUAAGAUGGCAUGGGUGCUACGGACUGAGUAUUCGUGUCCCCCCACCCCCACCCCAGGUUCAUUGGUGGAAGCCCUAGCCUGCCAGUGUGAUGGGCAUUUGGAAAUGCACCUCAGAAGGUGAUUAGGAUUGGAGGAGGCCUUGAGGGUGGAGGCCCUAUAAUGGGGUUGGUGCUCUUAGAAGAGAGCAGACCAGAGCAUUGCCUCUCUCCCUGUCCCUCCCCCCAGCACCCUCCCCAGAAAAGCCCUCUGUCUGCAAACCAGGAAGUGGGCCCCUCCCAGACACUGAGUCUGCCAGCACCCUAAUCUUGGGCUUCCCAGCCUCCAAAACUGUAAGAACUGCAAGAAAUAAAUGCCUGUUGUGUAAGCCACCCCAUCAGUGGCAUUCGGUUAUGGCAGCCCGUGCUGCCUUGGACUAGAGCAUGCUCAGAACACACUGCUGGAAGGGUCAGGAAACCCAGCCCUGGCUUGACCACGAACCCUGUCACCUGUGUCACCGUCCAGAGGUCACUGAAGAGCUUGAUUUGCUUAGAAUUGGGGAGGAACUAGAGGAAGGAGCAACGGGGGGACACUCUAGAAAGACAGCUGUUCCCACUCAUGACACCUAUGAAGCAGUGAUUCGCGUCUGUGGUGGAGGAGGAGGGCCCUCCCAGGGAAGGCCCGAUGGGAUGUGUGCACGUCCGUGUGCGUAUGGAGAGAAGAGAUCUGUUUUAAGGACGUGGCUCAUGCAGUUGUGGAGGCUUGGUAAAUGCGAACCUGUAGGACAGGCCGAAGACCCAGGGAGCAGUCCAAAGGCUGGCUGCCCGUCCAGUUUCUUCUCGCUCACAGGAGGCUGGUCUUUGUUCUCUCCAGGCUUUCAAACAAUUGGAUGAGGCCCACCCACAUUAUGGAGGGGGAUCUGCUUUACUCAACGUCCACCGAUUUAAAUGUUCACCUCAUUCAAAAACGCCUUCACGGAAACAUCCAGAAUGAGGUCUUACCAAGCAACUGGGCACUAUGGCCCAGCCAAGUUGAUACGUAAAAUCAGCCAUCACAGCUUCCAAACACCGAAUACAGCUUCCUCCCAUUAGCGUAAUUACCAACCACGAAAGGGGGGGUUCUCCUGGCCCUUGGAAUUUUCUCACCGUUAUUCCAGAGCACUACCAAGCUAACCCCAUGGAUAUUAGGCUCCUCCCAUAAAGAAUGGACACAGAAUGUCAGAGGGUUUGGAUGGGGGGUGGAGGUGAGGGUGGAAGUUCCCUCCAGCACAACUGAAAUCUGCCCCUGCUUCAGAGAGAUCAGAGAAAUAAAAGGAAGUGAUUACAACAAACUGCACCAGCACCAUGCUAAGCUCCCAAAGAACAGACCUCUGAUGCCAGCCUCGUACGCUCCGUCACAGCUAUCUAGGCCUGGUCGCACCUGACCCCUGCCUGGGAACCAGACAAUUCUCACCAAACAAUUCCUCUUUUUAGUUCCUAGAAUUGUGGUCCCCUCCCCCUUGGAAGAAGGUUGAAACAUCUGCAGAUAGACCUUCCUAGGAAGACUAAGCACUUGGAGUUUCAACUCCAGCCAGAACCUUCAUCCUUGUCUCAUCGGACACUUGUCAUAUAAGGAAAUAGUAAUUUUCUCAUAGUCCUUUUCUAACCAGUUUUACCCUUAAACUAGGAGCUCAAGAACAAACCCCCACCAUGUUGAUCCCAGGCUUGAAUACACAGACCAUUCAGAAAAGGCCUACCUCCUUGGGGAGGCAUGAGGUGGGGAAGAUGUGGCCUCCUUGGAGGUAAUGACCUGUGCAGUUUCCGCAAUAUCCAGCCAUUCUCCUGGGGAAGCCGAGCAUAACUUCAGUUUCUAUGGACUUGAGGGUUGUGCUGAUAGGCCACCAGUGCACGGUACAGAGUACGAGCCUAUGGGAUUUUCGGCCUAGAGCAUCCUCCCCAGGAAUUGGUCCCCUCCCUACCUUUAUUCCCACAACUCCAUAAUACAUUUUUGCCACAGGAGCCACCAUAUGCCCAUAUGAGGGCCCAGCUCCCGAGCAAGUGCUCACUCACUCACAGGCUUCUUGGGGGCCUGUGGUCUUGAAAUGAAGUACAAGUUGAAUAAUCUCUUUCCUGUAGGUCCACACUUCGCUAUAAAACUCAGGUGCAGGAUCCCUGGGUGGCGCAGAGGUUUGGCGCGUGCCUUUGGCCCAGGGUGUGAUCCUGGAGACCCGGGAUCGAAUCCCACAUCGGGCUCCCAGUGCAUGGAGCCUGCUUCUCCCUCUGCCUGU